GACGAACGCUGGCGGCGUGCUUAACACAUGCAAGUCGAACGGAAAGGCCCUGCUUGCAGGGUACUCGAGUGGCGAACGGGUGAGUAACACGUGGGUGAUCUGCCCUGCACUUCGGGAUAAGCCUGGGAAACUGGGUCUAAUACCGGCUAGGAGCCAUUUUUAGUGUGAUGGUUGGAAAGUUUUUUCGGUGCAGGAUGAGCUCGCGGCCUAUCAGCUUGUUGGUGGGGUGAUGGCCUACCAAGGCGGCGACGGGUAGCCGGCCUGAGAGGGUGGACGGCGACAUUGGCACUGAGAGACGGCCCAGACACCGACGGGAGGCAGCAGUGGGGAAUAUUGCACAAUGGGCGCAAGCCUGAUGCAGCGACGCCGCGUGGGGGAUGACGGCCUUCGGGUUGUAAACUCCUUUCGCAAGGGACGAAGCAUUUUGUGACGGUACCUAGAUAAGAAGCACCGGCUAACUACGUG
rnacentral:rRNA from 1 species